GAUGAACGCUAGCUACAGGCUUAACACAUGCGAGUCGAGGGGAAACGGCAUUAAGUGCUUGCACUUUUUGGACGUCGACCGGCGCACGGGUGAGUAACGCGUAUCCAACCUUCCCAUGACUAAGGGAUAACCUGCCGAAAGGCAGACUAAUACCUUAUGGUCUUCACUGACGGCAUCAGAUGUGAAGUAAAGAUUUAUCGGUUAUGGAUGGGGAUGCGUCUGAUUAGCUUGUUGGCGGGGUAACGGCCCACCAAGGCAACGAUCAGUAGGGGUUCUGAGAGGAAGGUCCCCCACAUUGGAACUGAGACACGGUCCAAACUCCUACGGGAGGCAGCAGUGAGGAAUAUUGGUCAAUGGGCGAGAGCCUGAACCAGCCAAGUAGCGUGCAGGAUGACGGCCCUAUGGGUUGUAAACUGCUUUUGUAUGGGGAUAAAGUCAAUCACGUGUGAUUGUUUGCAGGUACCAUACGAAUAAGGACCGGCUAAUUCCGUGCCAGCAGCCGCGGUAAUACGGAAGGUCCGGGCGUUAUCCGGAUUUAUUGGGUUUAAAGGGAGCGUAGGCUGGAGAUUAAGUGUGUUGUGAAAUGUAGACGCUCAACGUCUGACUUGCAGCGCAUACUGGUUUCCUUGAGUACGCACAACGUUGGCGGAAUUCGUCGUGUAGCGGUGAAAUGCUUAGAUAUGACGAAGAACUCCGAUUGCGAAGGCAGCUGACGGGAGCGCAACUGACGCUGAAGCUCGAAGGUGCGGGUAUCGAACAGG
rnacentral:rRNA from 1 species